CAGAGGGUGCGAACGUUGCUCGGAAUUACUGGGCGUAAAGCGCGUGUAGGCGGGUCGGCAAGUCAGGCGUGAAAUCCCCAGGCUCAACCUGGGAACUGCGCUUGAAACUGCCGGUCUUGAGUAUCGGAGAGGGUGGCGGAAUUCCUGGUGUAGAGGUGAAAUUCGUAGAUAUCAGGAGGAACACCGGUGGCGAAGGCGGCCACCUGGACGAUUACUGACGCUGAGACGCGAAAGCGUGGGGAGCAAACAGGAUUAGAUACCCUGGUAGUCCACGCCGUAAACGAUGGGUGCUAGGUGUCUCGGGUAUUGACCCCUGAGGUGCCGUAGCUAACGCGUUAAGCACCCCGCCUGGGAAGUACGGCCGCAAGGCUA
rnacentral:rRNA from 1 species